rnacentral:rRNA from 1 species
UCAGGCCUAACACAUGCAAGUCGAGCGGAAACGAGUUAACUGAACCCUCGGGGAACGUUAACGGCGUCGAGCGGCGGACGGGUGAGUAAUGCCUGGGAAAUUGCCCUGGUGUGGGGGAUAACCAUUGGAAACGAUGGCUAAUACCGCAUAAUAGCUUCGGCUCAAAGAGGGGGACCUUCGGGCCUCUCGCGUCAGGAUAUGCCCAGGUGGGAUUAGCUAGUUGGUGAGGUAAGGGCUCACCAAGGCGACGAUCCCUAGCUGGUCUGAGAGGAUGAUCAGCCACACUGGAACUGAGACACGGUCCAGACUCCUACGGGAGGCAGCAGUGGGGAAUAUUGCACAAUGGGCGCAAGCCUGAUGCAGCCAUGCCGCGUGUAUGAAGAAGGCCUUCGGGUUGUAAAGUACUUUCAGCAGUGAGGAAGGUGGUAGUGUUAAUAGCACUAUCAUUUGACGUUAGCUGCAGAAGAAGCACCGGCUAACUCCGUGCCAGCAGCCGCGGUAAUACGGAGGGUGCGAGCGUUAAUCGGAAUUACUGGGCGUAAAGCGCAUGCAGGUGGUUUGUUAAGUCAGAUGUGAAAGCCCGGGGCUCAACCUCGGAAUUGCAUUUGAAACUGGCAGACUAGAGUACUGUAGAGGGGGGUAGAAUUUCC